rfam:Lepisosteus oculatus linkage group LG8, whole genome shotgun sequence.
GCCAGCAGCCAUAUCACAAUUGGUAACCCACUGAAGCUCAGCAGGUGUGAGCCUGGUCAGUACCUGGAUGGGAGACCUCUUGGGAAAAACUAAGGUUCCUGCUGGAA